AAUCGAAACCGCCACAAGGCGGUCAAGCGGAAUCGCCGCCCGCUUCUGAUGAGAUAGGCGAAA
rnacentral:hammerhead_ribozyme from 1 species